GGUCCUUGGGGGACGAUAUUCAUAUCGUGCAGUCGAGCGAACUGAUUAGAAGCUUGCUUCUAUGACGUUAGCGGCGGACGGGUGAGUAACACGUGGGCAACCUGCCUGUAAGACUGGGAUAACUUCGGGAAACCGAAGCUAAUACCGGAUAGGAUCUUCUCCUUCAUGGGAGAUGAUUGAAAGAUGGUUUCGGCUAUCACUUACAGAUGGGCCCGCGGUGCAUUAGCUAGUUGGUGAGGUAACGGCUCACCAAGGCAACGAUGCAUAGCCGACCUGAGAGGGUGAUCGGCCACACUGGGACUGAGACACGGCCCAGACUAAUACGGGAGGCAGCAGUAGGGAAUCUUCCGCAAUGGACGAAAGUCUGACGGAGCAACGCCGCGUGAGUGAUGAAGGCUUUCGGGUCGUAAAACUCUGUUGUUAGGGAAGAACAAGUACGAGAGUAACUGCUCGUACCUUGACGGUACCUAACCAGAAAGCCACGGCUAACUACGUGCCAGCAGCCGCGGUAAUACGUAGGUGGCAAGCGUUAUCCGGAAUUAUUGGGCGUAAAGCGCGCGCAGGCGGUUUCUUAAGUCUGAUGUGAAAGCCCACGGCUCAACCGUGGAGGGUCAUUGGAAACUGGGGAACUUGAGUGCAGAAGAGAAAAGCGGAAUUCCACGUGUAGCGGUGAAAUGCGUAGAGAUGUGGAGGAACACCAGUGGCGAAGGCGGCUUUUUGGUCUGUAACUGACGCUGAGGCGCGAAAGCGUGGGGAGCAAACAGGAUUAGAUACCCUGGUAGUCCACGCCGUAAACGAUGAGUGCUAAGUGUUAGAGGGUUUCCGCCCUUUAGUGCUGCAGCUAACGCAUUAAGCACUCCGCCUGGGGAGUACGGUCGCAAGACUGAAACUCAAAGGAAUUGACGGGGGCCCGCACAAGCGGUGGAGCAUGUGGUUUAAUUCGAAGCAACGCGAAGAACCUUACCAGGUCUUGACAUCCUCUGACAACUCUAGAGAUAGAGCGUUCCCCUUCGGGGGACAAAGUGACAGGUGGUGCAUGGUUGUCGUCAGCUCGUGUCGGGAGAUGUUGGGUUAAGUCCCGCAACGAGCGCAACCUUUGAUCUUAGUUGCCAGCAUUUAAGUUGGGCACUCUAAAGGUGACUGGCGGGGGAACAAACCGGAAGGAAGGGGGGGAAUGACGUUCAAAUCCUUCUGGCCCCUUAUGAACCGGGGGUUAACCCCGGGGCUUAAAUGGGAAUGGCUCAAAAGGGUUUG
rnacentral:rRNA from 1 species